GCCGGGCAUGGUGGUGCACACCUGUAAUCCCAGUGGCUGGGGAGGCUGAGGCAGGAGGGUUGUGAGUUCAAAGCCAGCCUCUGCAAACAACUAAAGCGCUAAGCAACUCAGUGAGACCCUGUCUCUA
rnacentral:sRNA from 1 species